rnacentral:rRNA from 1 species
AACGAACGCUGGCGGCGUGCCUAACACAUGCAAGUCGAACGAAAAGUCCGUGCUUAGUGGCUCCCGGAUGCGUAACGGGUGGGAAAAUGCCCUUGGGUUCGGACUCAUACCCUGGGAUGGGUGUUGAAACCGGGUAAUAUUUCUGGACAGAAGCUUUCUCGCCUUUGUGUGGGCUCGCGUUUGAUUAGGUUGUUGGUUGGGUAACAGCCUGCCCAGGCGGCGAUGCGUUGAUUGGCUGAGAGGAUGAUCGGCCACACUGGGACUGAGGCACGGCCCAGACGCCUACGGGAUGGAGAAGUGGGGAAUAUUGGACAAUGGGCGAAGGCCUGAUCCAGCAAGGCCGCGGGAGUGAUGAAGGCCGUAGGGUUGUAAAGCUCUUUUACCCGGGAUGAUAAUGACAGUACCGGGAGAAUAAGCUCCGGCUAACUCCGUG